rfam:Ictidomys tridecemlineatus contig046042, whole genome shotgun sequence.
GGGGUUGUGGCUCAGUGGUAGAGCAUUCUCCUAGCAUGGGAGAGGCACUGGGUUUGAUCCUCAGCACCA